rnacentral:rRNA from 1 species
CAGGCUUAACACAUGCAAGUCGAGGGGCAGCAUUUCAUUUUGCUUGCAAAGUGAAGAUGGCGACCGGCGCACGGGUGAGUAACACGUAUCCAACCUGCCGAUAACUCGGGGAUAGCCUUUCGAAAGAAAGAUUAAUAUCCGAUGGUAUAUCAAUCCCGCAUGAGAUUGAUAUUAAAGAAUUUCGGUUAUCGAUGGGGAUGCGUUCCAUUAGUUUGUUGGCGGGGUAACGGCCCACCAAGACUACGAUGGAUAGGGGUUCUGAGAGGAAGGUCCCCCACAUUGGAACUGAGACACGGUCCAAACUCCUACGGGAGGCAGCAGUGAGGAAUAUUGGUCAAUGGACGUAAGUCUGAACCAGCCAAGUAGCGUGAAGGAUGACUGCCCUAUGGGUUGUAAACUUCUUUUAUAUGGGAAUAAAGUAUUCCACGUGUGGGAUUUUGUAUGUACCAUAUGAAUAAGGAUCGGCUAACUCCGUGCCAGCAGCCGCGGUAAUACGGAGGAUCCGAGCGUUAUCCGGAUUUAUUGGGUUUAAAGGGAGCGUAGGUGGAUUGUUAAGUCAGUUGUGAAAGUUUGCGGCUCAACCGUAAAAUUGCAGUUGAAACUGGCAGUCUUGAGUACAGUAGAGGUGGGCGGAAUUCGUGGUGUAGUGGUGAAAUGCUUAGAUAUCACGAAGAACUCCGAUUGCGAAGGCAGCUCACUAGACUGUCACUGACACUGAUGCUCGAAAGUGUGGGUAUCAAACAGGAUUAGAUACCCUGGUAGUCCACACAGUAAACGAUGAAUACUCGCUGUUUGCGAUAUACAGUAAGCGGCCAAGCGAAAGCAUUAAGUAUUCCACCUGGGGAGUACGCCGGCAACGGUGAAACUCAAAGGAAUUGACGGGGGGCCCGCACAAGCGGAAGGAACAUGUGGUUUAAUUCGAUGAUACCCAAGGAACCUUCCCCGGGCUUCAAUUGCAAAUGAAUAUGUAGGAAUCUAUAUACUCGCAAGGCAUUUGUGAAGGUGCUGCAUGGUUGUCGUCAGGUCGUGCCGUGAGGUGUCGGCUUAAGUGCCAUAACGAGCGCAACCCUUAUCUUCAGUUACUAACAGGUCAUGAUGAGGACUCUGGAGAGACUGCCGUCGUAAGAUGUGAGGAAGGUGGGGAUGACGUCAAAUCAGCACGGCCCUUACGUCCGGGGCUACACACGUGUUACAAUGGGGGGUACAGAAGGCAGGUACCUGGUGACAGGAUGCUAAUCCCAAAAACCUCUCUCAGUUCGGAUCGAAGUCUGCAACCCGACUUCGUGAAGCUGGAUUCGCUAGUAAUCGCGCAUCAGCCAUGGCGCGGUGAAUACGUUCCCGGGCCUUGUACACACCGCCCGUCAAGCCAUGAAAGCCGGGGGUACCUGAAGUACGUAACAAC